ACCGGAAUUUGGUUGUUAGCAUGUUUCUGUUAUAAAUAAUAUGUUCAAUUAUGAAACUUGAUAUAAUUAAAGUUAGGCAAGUUACAUGGAAGAAUAGUGGUUUUUAAACUCUAUCCAGAAGGAUUGUUAUAAAAGAAGUGGUCUUACUUACAAUUU